UCCUACGGGGGGCAGCAGUGAGGAAUAUUGGUCAAUGGGCGAGAGCCUGAACCAGCCAAGUCGCGUGAGGGAGUACUGCCCUAUGGGUUGUAAACCUCUUUUGUCGGGGAGCAAAAGCCGGACGUGUCCGUCUCUGAGAGUACCCGGAGAAAAAGCAUCGGCUAACUCCGUGCCAGCAGCCGCGGUAAUACGGAGGAUGCGAGCGUUAUCCGGAUUUAUUGGGUUUAAAGGGUGCGUAGGCGGAUCGUUAAGUCAGUGGUCAAAUUGAGGGGCUCAACCCCUUCCCGCCAUUGAAACUGGCGUUC
rnacentral:rRNA from 1 species